GCUUGUCUCAAAGAUUAAGCCAUGCAUGUGUAAGUAUAAGUAGUAUACGGCGAAACUGCGAAUGGCUCAUUAAAACAGUUAUGAUUUAUUUGAUAAUCGAAAGUUACAUGGAUAACCGUGACAAAUUACAGCUAAUACAUGCAGUCAGACCUGGCUCAAGGGUCGUAAUUAUUAGUACCAAACCAAUUCCGCGAGGAAUGUGUUGAAUCAUAGUAAUCGAACGAAUCGCAUAGCUUUAAUGCUGGCGAUGGGUCAUUCAAAUUUCUGCCCUAUCAACUUUCGACGGUAGGAUAGAGGCCUACUGUGGUGAUAACGGGUAACGAAGAAUAAGGGUUCGAUUUCGGAGAGGGAGCCUGAGAAACGGCUACCACAUCCAAGGAAGGCAGCAGG
rnacentral:rRNA from 1 species